UAAUUUUUUUAGGAUAAAUCAUUAUUUAGUUAUGGUAGACUCAUACCUGACUGCGUAGACUCACCUGUUAUCGCAUACCCGACUACAUGAGAAAUUGUUGGUCUUGGUUCUUAACUUUGUU
rnacentral:pre_miRNA from 1 species